rnacentral:rRNA from 1 species
AUUGAACGCUGGCGGCAGGCCUAACACAUGCAAGUCGAGCGAGAGGAGGACGGGUGAGUAAUGUCUGGGAAACUGCCUGAUGGAGGGGGAUAACUACUGGAAACGGUAGCUAAUACCGCAUACCAUCAGAUGUGCCCAGAUGGGAUUAGCGAGUAGGUGGGGGAAUGGCUCACAUCGGCGACGAUCCCUAGCGGUUCUGAGAGGAUGACCAGCCAGACUGGAACUGAUACACGGUCCAGACUCCUACGGUAGGCAGCAGUGGGGAAUAUUUAACAAUGGGCGCAAGCCUUAUGCAGCCAGGCCGCGUGUGUGAAGAAGGCCUUCGGGUUGUAAAGCACUUUCAGCGGGUAGGCGUUACCCGCAGAAGAAGCACCGGCUAACUCCGUGCCAGCCGCCGCGGUAAUUC